CACUGCACUCCAGCCUAGGCGACUGAGCAAGAAUCCGUCUCAAAAAAAAAAACAAACAAAAAAACAAAAAAAAAAACAAAGAAUGUUAUGAGACGACUUUGUAUGCCUCAUUAGAGAGCCAGGACAUCUUCCGUGGAUACGUGGAAUGAGUAGACAUUGACAUGCAACAACGUCAAGAAUGUGUUUUGGUUUUUCUUUGUUUUGUAAAGGGAUACCUUGUUUUAAGGUGAAAAUGAAACCAGUUGAGAAAAGAAAACUAAGACCAUUUAGGGUCUGUUACACAAUUGACAUAUCAGAAUAUGAAGACAAGGUAAAUGAGUAAAACAAGGAAUGAGAAGGAGGGAGCACAUUUAAACAGAAUUUGGAAAAUUGUCUUCCACAAAACUGGCCCUGGUACCAAGAAGUUUGGGGACCGCUGCUGUAGACCACCAAUAUUUGAAUGACGCGUAGAAGAUGAGUCUGCAGAAGACAGAGAAAGAGCUGUCAUGGUGGAAGGUGAAAAGGCAGAACAGAUCCCAGUACUUUGGGAGGCCAAGGCGGGUGGAUCACUUGAGGUCUGGAGUUCAAGACCAGUCUGACCAAUGUGGAGAAACCCCGUCCCUACUAAAAAAAAAUACAAAAUUAGCCAGACGUGGUGGCGCAUGCCUGUAAUCCCAGCUACUCGGAAGGCUGAGGCAAGAGAAUUGCUUGAACCCGGGAGGCGGAGGUUGCGGUGCGCCGAGAUCGCGCCAUUGGACUCCAGCCUGGGCAACAACAGCGAAACUCCGUCAAAAAAAAAAAAAAAAAAAAAAAAAAAAAAAAGGCAGGACGGGAAAGAAUGGCGUCACACACUGAUUUUUAUAAAAGAACUGAAAUGAAAUGCAUCGCUAUCAAGCUCUGUUGUGGUUCCCUUUUCCCAAACAUGAUUCAUGACUAAUAUGUGACUUCUAUUCAUUUUCUUAAGGGCUUGAGAAUUAUAUAAAACUAAUAUAAAAGGCUAGAUUGAGAGCAAAAGCUGAUAAUUACUAAAUGCUGCCUAAAACUUGGCUUCAAUCCAUAUCAUAGAAAAGCUGCAGUGAGACCUGGCACCAGGCUACCUGCGUUCAUAUUUUGGCUCUACCCACAGUACAUAAGUGAUCCUGAACAUGGUGCUAACCCCGCAGUAUGCCUCAUUUUUCUAUGUAUUAAAUGGAUCUCAUUGUUACCCAUCCUCAUCAAAUUAUUGUGUGGAUUAAAUGAGAUGCUAAAAGUCAA